GUGUUGCGCCUCCGCGGGUCGCCCCGCAUUGGGGCCGCGAUUGCUAUGCAGAGUCGGAAGCCGGCGGCCGCUCAGAAACUAUGAGGAAGAGCUUAAAAUGCCUCAAACUUUUUUUUUUUUUUUUUGAGAGAGGAGACUGGGGAGAUGGAUUUGAAGAGGAUUGAACAAAUUGGAAGAAAAUAUUUGUCCUCUGCUUUGGUGUCAGAAAAGGGAAUUUUCCAAUCUGCCACACCUCAGUGUUGCGGCAAAAAUAAUUCUUGGCUCCCCUGGAAACUAUCGGGCAAGGUAGGGCAGAACUGCUGCUGCUGUCGCCAUUACCCUGGGCUUCCUAUUGAAUGAGCUGCUCCCAAGUGAACAGAUCUGCGUUGAUGCUCUGGUCGUCCAAAAGUCCUCAAAUCAGCUCUGAGCUGAGCCCACUAUUGGAAGAAUCUGCCUUUUGGAAGUUGCCGCUACCUUGUGCUUGGGAAGAUUUGGCUCAAGCACUCUUUCCCUGCCUGGAGACUUAUUGGGGAUGUAAAAUGAGAGAAUAGCAGGUGACCAGCAAAUUAGGGGAGGAUUAAAUACUUCCAAGUUGUCACAGCAAGAAGAAAGAGGAAUAUCUCAGGAGUUUGACCUCAAGCCUGCAAAGUGGUGGUAUUCUACCAAGAUGUCUGUAUGCUUCCUGAUGCUGUUGAGUCCUGUGGGAGGAGAAUCUGAGCACCCUGAUGCCCCUUAUCCCCAAUACUGGACUGUGGAGCUGAGAGUGACAACAGCCAAGAAUUCUGUAGAGUACAGCUCCAUCUGUAAGUAGGUGACAAUUUCUUGGCAACACAGGCUCAGCUGAGGAUGGUGUUUGUGCAUCUAAGCCAUCAUGCUAGAGCAGUUUGCCUACAUUUUUGUGGAACGGCAAAGAGGACCUGCUUGACCACCCUUCUUUCUGUGGGUAAGUGUUCAUCCUCAUUUUUAUACGUUCUUUUCUGCCUUCAAAUGUGAAAGUUUGAUAGGUAUUUAUAAACCUGGACUGCUAUACCUUCUUUCUUCCUCUCCUAUGUGCCCCACCCUUUGUCUUUCAGAAGGAAAUGUUGCAAUUCAGUGUUCGGCCACAAUAUAUCUAUCUUCCUUAGACUCCUACUUUAGAAGCCAGUUUUCUCUAAAAUGGAUCCAGGAGACAUGUCUUUGGUGAGAAGUGUUAAUUAAUAGCCUCAUGAAGGACCCUGAUGCACUCACUGUGCCCAGUUUGUGCUGAGGCUUCUAGCUGGCUGGCUGCAUAAGAAUGGUCCUUGCCAGCAUCUGGCAUAGAUCUGCCAAGUUCUAGCUCCAAAUCUCUAGGCUGUAGGAACCUCAACUAUAUAUAGCCUUGAGCUAAGCAGAUCUUAGCAGACAUGUCUACCCUUCCCUGUGAGAGAAGAGUACUUCUAUCAUAACUACAGUGUGGAAAAUGAGUUAUCUUCAAGGGCUGGAAGGUGUAUAUUUCCAUAUCAGGCUUGGGUCUGCCAUACUUACUCUUCUUUUUCCUGUUUCAGGUACUGAAAGAUGAAAAGUCAUGCUGGAUGAGGUUGCUGAGGUGGGAUGAGGGCCAGUAGGAUGCCAUGUAUAGAGAAGGAAAGACUUGGAGCACUCCAUGUGGCCAAAGGUGGAUAUGCCCUACAUCAAACCCCAGCUUCCAGUGUCUCCUCUGUUUCCUGCUUGAUUUGCUCUGCUCAAAGAUAUCUUUUGAUCUUUCCUCAUUCCUUUGGACCUUGUGCUCUCUCUGUUUUCAUCUACUUCUGCCUGUUCUUCCAUUUGUUUUUUCUUUAGGAUGAAUGAAAAUAUUCUCAGCUAUUGAUCCAGCAGCUAUAUUUAUUCUUUGCCUUCUCUUGUCUUCUUUGCCUUUAUCCUAAUUAAGCAAGGCAGAAAGGGCUAAUUGUCUUGGGAAGGAAGGUGGUUAGUAAAUAAAAGCCCAUGGUGUUCAGUGGUAGGGCCUAGUAGGUUAGAUGGUCUUCCUUCUUGUAGGUACUGUUGAGCCACCAAUUUGUGUGAUUCCUUGACCUCAAGUAUAUUUUAAUAUAACAUGGGCCUGGUCUUUUUCUUUCCAUUGUCCCCCUGGCUUUUCUGUAUAUGGGUGACUAGCAGAGUGCUAAGAUAAAGGCAGCCUGCUCAACUAGCUAGGCCAUGAGAUGUUUGGAAAAUAUCUGGGCAGCACUGUAGACAGGGUAGCUCCUUGGCUACUGACAGCUAACCUGAGCUUAUUCGGGGUGUAAUUCCCAUACCAUCCCCGAGGUCCUGGGAGCUGCCCAGGAUGCAAACAUGCUCUUUCCUUUUAGAGUGGGUAUUUGUCUUACUCUGGACACACUGAGCUUUAAGGGGGCUUAGGCUAAGCCUGGGAUAUAGCUUAUACUGGGCUGAGCAGUAACUAGAUUCUGGAUUUUUCCCUACUUGGAUUUUUUUCUUUGAAUGAAUUGUUUUUUCUUUAGGUCUUCAAUUGUCUUCAAAGUACCUCCAGGUACUCAACAGGGUUAUGUAUGCUUUUUCUAUGCCUUGCAAUAACAGCAAUGAUGAGUUAAAGUGAUGAUGUCCCUCAGAAGUAGGAAGACAACCCCAUUGUAAACAAAUCAGAAAGCAGCAGGUACUUGCUGUGACAUUCAAAAAUCUCUGUCCAUCAUUGCUGGCAGUGUUCUUAGCCAAUAGGGCCAGUGGGAACUAAAUAAUAGCCAGAGAUUUAGGGUCUAAGGAGAAAGGAAUUAUCCUGGAUAAUUCUACUAGGUACCUGUGAGAUCUCAAUCCCAGCUAUCUAAUGUAGCUACUCUCCUGGCACCAUGUAGAUGUGUUUCUCCUUCCUUGCUCCCUCCUACUACUGUCCAAGAAAGACAAAUGAAUCUCACCCCAUAUGUUUAAUUGUCUUGUUUUUCCCUUUAAGGCAAGCCUCUGAGGUCCUUGCCAAGAAAAGUCAGUUUUGAUAAGUUUUCUGUUACUUCAAGGAGCUGAUCAAGUUCAGUCACUUCCUCAGUAGUGUGUGAGGGAUAGCAGAGGGUUAGAAGGACUGAUGUUUAAAUGAAGAGGUGAGUUCAAUCAGCUCUGCAGCUGGGAGAUAGAAAGGAAUAAACCUAGUUCAAGAUGAUACCCACUGGUGUGCUAGAGCCAGAUGUGCUUUGCCUUGCUCCUAGCCUCAGCCUGGCUUCUGUUGUGUGACAGGCAGCAUUGUGUGUUGCCAGCCAAGUAGUCAUGGCAGUUAGCAUGCCUUGAGUAGGAUAUAGGCAUGCCUGGCACUUUUUCCUUGACCUCUGAGUCUAUAAGUUCUAGAAGACAGUUGUGGUACUGAAGCUGAGACAGCAUAGCUGUAGAAUACAAAGUACCUUACUCAGAGCCCUUUUUGGGCCAUACCAUCUGGGUUCUACUGAAUCCUGUUCUUACUGGGGCUACGAAUUGUUCAAAUGAUAUCUUGGCUCUAUUCUCUGGCUUGGGUAUAACCCCAGUACUGCAGCUUUAGAGGAGGAUGUGAACUCUCACAGGUCAUUUCUUUAUACAUUAUAGCCAGCCUUUAGGAUAAGUAAGAGAUACUGCCCUAGUCACCCUGCCAUCUAUGGGAGGUUCUUGUUUUCCUUAAUUUAUCUGAUCAAUGGCCAUGAGAAAAGUAUACACUGGUUUGGAUCCUUGCUGGUUCCUUCCAACUGCUUUUAGGCUGAUAAGCAAGAAAAUACUCUUGAAGCCUCAUAGUCUGCAGAAUUUGAUGCUGUGGAAUGAUACCUAUGUGGAUAGACUAUAGAAAUAGGUUGGAGGGAACUUCAUAGAGCCAUGUUUCUUUGUGGUUGGAUAAAAGAAACAAGUCAUGAGGUUGGAUAUGUGGGAAGACAUAUCCAAAUGUCUAGGCUGUAGGUGGGAUGGAGCCCAGAUGAAUCUCUAAUGAGGCAAGGAGAUAGGAUCAGAUAUCUUGGUCCCCAUAUUCCAUCCAUGGAAAAGGAGACUGUCCUCUCACCAUUGGUGACACAGAUUAUUUCCCUUUGAUUUUUAUUAAAGUAUAAUUAUUAAAUGACUUAAGUCAAACUCACACAAUUGAUGAGUGAUGUUGAGGUUUGCUUCAGCACUUCUAAUUCCAAAGCCACGUUUUCUCCUCACUCUUGGGCUAAAAGUCAGACAUUUUGUGAAUUAACAUCCCCAAGAAACAAUAUAAUCUACAGUAUAAGCAAACUAUGUCCCAGUUAGACUGUCCACAUUCCUUUUGGGGGGAUGUGUGGCAGAUGUUAUUUGGUGUCCAUGGAAAUGAAAAAUAACUUCUAGAUAUUGGUGGAUAUACUAGGAGCUGGAGGUACAGAGCCCUGAGACUAGAUUUCUUCUUGUACUGUGGGUAUAAAAUUGUCCAUAAUGUAGCAACAUAAAAUACACAGUAGCCACAGAUAACAUUGUGUGUGAAGGAAGAGGAAGGCAUCACUCAUUGAAAAUAUGGUGACUAAUUUCUGUCAUGUUAGCACUCAGGAGGCUAAAGUAGGAGAGUUGAGUUCUAAGCUGGCCUGGGCUAGCUUAGAUUAAGACCCUGUCUCAAACACCUCCCCCUCC
ensembl:processed_transcript A330023F24Rik RIKEN cDNA A330023F24 gene